GGGAGCAGAGGGCCUCCUCUGCUUGGCCAGGGCUCUGCCCCUGCUCCCCUGAGACCUGGCAGUCCCGGGGGGCUGGCCCAGGGGCCGGGUUCCCAUCGGUUCCAUGAUUCCCGAGGCAGCUCGGCCUCCGGAGCUGAGCUCACUGGGGGACUUGAGCCCCAGCCGAUACUGCAGGAGGGCAAGAGACUGUGGGACCGUGGCUCACACGGCAGACCUAACGACCACGAGCCGAGUCUGGAGAGUCUGGUGUGGGACGUGGCCUCGUUGGUGGAACCAUGGCAGCCACAGGGUUGGCCCUGGAAACUCGAGGAGCGGGGAGUCGUCCAGAGGCCAGUCGAGGAGAAGCAGCGCCAGGAACAGUCAUUUGUGCCGACCCAAGGACCCCCGUUUCCACUCUCCCGGCGAGGGCGCCGAGGUUCCCGGCAGGAGACGUGCCCGUCCUGGACACCAGGGCCGCGGGCGUUCGUGAGGCUGUGCCGGGCCCCGGCUGCCAGCACUGUGAUGCCCGAGGCGGGGCGCCGAGGAGAAGGAGGCGAAACGUGGUGCCGUCUGUCUGAUCGGGUGAUUUGCUGUGAAGCCGGCGAGGAGCUGCGUCCUGAAUCAUGUCGAGGGUGUUACACAUGUAUCGGGGACAGACUUGUUCCUAAAUUAUCUUUUAUGAUCACCCGCGCGUCCGCGGGCGGCAGGUGUCGGCGCCUGAACCCGGCCGUUAUUUGUGGCUGCGGACCAGGCGUUAAUUAUCGACGCGCCUGCCCACCUCCUCGCCACCUCCAGUUAAAAUUCAUGGUCCGGCCACUCGGCAAAUAUUGAUUCUGACCCAAGUUGAUGUUUUCCCCUUAACAUUAUUAUAAUGAGGGAUAAAAAUCAAAUUGCCUUCCCUGAAACUCAAUCAUUCUCCUGUCCCGUGCCUCAUCGAUCUUCCUUUCCCCGGGUUUUACCAUAAAUUAUUCUAUUCAAUUAAGUAAACUCACACAUAAUGGCAUUUUGCAAACUGAAUAAUUUAUUGACUGUGUUUGGCAAAAGGCUGCUUUGGGGUGGGCCAGGGAAGGGAGGGCAUUAGGUCCCCCAGCUCUCAGAGGCCCAUCUGAGCGGGGUUGGGGUGGGGGGCGUCCGGGGGUGGCUCCCUGCUCCCCGAGGGGCCUGGGGCUGCGGGGUGGACAGGACCCAGAGUGGUGUGAGUGAGGUCCCCGGGAGGCUCCGAGGA
rnacentral:lncRNA from 1 species